rnacentral:rRNA from 1 species
UACGAAGGGGGCUAGCGUUGCUCGGAAUCACUGGGCGUAAAGCGCACGUAGGCGGAUUGCUAAGUCAGGGGUGAAAUCCUGGAGCUCAACUCCAGAACUGCCUUUGAUACUGGCGAUCUCGAGUCCGGGAGAGGUGAGUGGAACUGCGAGUGUAGAGGUGAAAUUCGUAGAUAUUCGCAAGAACACCAGUGGCGAAGGCGGACUCACUGGCCCGGUACUGGACGCCUGGAGGUGACGAAAGCGGUGGGGAGCGAUCCGGGA